AUGAUUCCUCUAGAAUUACGACCUUUACCCCGCUUAGCCCUAUCGGGUAUUUUAGUGAUAGGUUCUGUAGGAACUGGACGAUCCUAUUUGGUCAAAUACCUAACGAAAAAUUACGAUUUUCCUUUCAUUAAGGUACGAGGGCUUCUUAUUCCACAAGAACGAAAGCACCUUUUCAUUCUUUCAUAUACUAGGGGUUUUUACUUGGAAAAGACAAUGUUCCAUACUAAAGGAUUCAGGUCCAUAACCACGAGUUCCAGUGCACGCUAA
rnacentral:rRNA from 1 species